UGAAAAUACCUAGACGAGUUAAUUUAACUCCAUAAACA
rnacentral:tRNA from 1 species